rnacentral:rRNA from 1 species
GCUCAGUCAUAAACUUUGGUGAUAAAUUACACAUAUUGCCCGCCAGGGUACUACGAGCGCUAGCUUAAAACCCAAAGGACUUGGCGGUGCCCCAGACCCACCUAGAGGAGCCUGUUCUAGAACCGAUAAUCCCCGUUAAACCUCACCACUUCUUGUCAUUACCCGCCUAUAUACCGCCGUCGUCAGCUUACCCUGUGAAAGACUAAUAGUAAGCAAAAAUGGCACACCCAAAAACGUCAGGUCGAGGUGUAGCGAAUGAAGUGGAAAGAAAUGGGCUACAUUUUCUGACACAGAAAAUACACGAAUAACACUGUGAAACCAGUGAUUGAAGGUGGAUUUAGCAGUAAAAAGAAAAUAGAAAAUUCUUUUGAAGCCGGCUAUGAGGCGCCGC